rnacentral:rRNA from 1 species
UACGUAGGGGGCUAGCGUUGUCCGGAAUCAUUGGGCGUAAAGCGCACGUAGGCGGUCUGUUAUGUCGGAUGUGAAAGCCCUUGGCUCAACUGAGGAAGUGCAUCCGAAACUGGCAGGCUAGAGUACGAAAGAGGAUCGCGGAAUUCCCGGUGUAGAGGUGAAAUGCGCAGAUAUCAGGAGGAACACCGGUGGCGAAGGCGGGUCUCUGGGCAACAACUGACGCUGAGGAGCGAAAGCGUGGGGAGCGAACAGG